rnacentral:rRNA from 1 species
GACGGGGGCCCGCACAAGCGGAGGAACAUGUGGUUUAAUUCGAUGAUACGCGAGGAACCUUACCCGGGCUUGAACUGCAGGUGAACGAUCCAGAGAUGGUGAGGUCCUUCGGGACACCUGUGGAGGUGCUGCAUGGUUGUCGUCAGCUCGUGCCGUGAGGUGUCGGCUUAAGUGCCAUAACGAGCGCAACCCUUUUCUCUAGUUGCCAUCAGGUUAAGCUGGGCACUCUGGAGACACUGCCACCGUAAGGUGUGAGGAAGGUGGGGAUGACGUCAAAUCAGCACGGCCCUUACGUCCGGGGCUACACACGUGUUACAAUGGGGAGUACAGCGAGUCGGUCGUAUGCAAAUGCGAUCCAAUCAUGAAAGCUCUCCUCAGUUCGGAUUGGGGUCUGCAACCCGACCCCAUGAAGCUGGAUUCGCUAGUAAUCGCGCAUCAGCCAUGGCGCGGUGAAUACGUUCCCGGGCCUUGUACACACCGCCCGUCAAGCCAUGAAAGCCGGGGGCUCUUGAAGUCCGU